CUCUCCCUUACAAGCAAGUCCCUCUGGUAAGCUCCUCAGGGCAUUUAUUCUCUGAAGGCCAAAAUACUUCUAGCACUGGAGCAUAAGGCCGGAAAUGAGCCAUCCACUCACUCUGAUGGAAGAUGAUGAGAACUGUUCAGAAGUUGAAGUCUGAGACAAAUGCAAAGGGACAGAGCCAAGACAGGAACAUCCAGCAACUAACAGCCUGAAAGUCUAGAGGGAAGGAUCUCAUCAGAGAUAUGAGUAGACCUCAGAGAAGCAAGCUUGCUUCAGAUGCUUCCUUUGCAGCAAACUUUCCUCUGCCCCACCUGCUUUGACUUGGCAAUGACAAUCCCGGAGGUGACUGUGAAGAAAAGCAAGAACCCAGUUUAAAGGGACAGUCUUGGAAUGAGUAAAAUGGGAGGAGGACUGGAGACACCCCAGCCUUCUGUCAAACGGAAGAAGGAAGAACUUCAACAAUUGUUGAGAGAGCUAGUUAUUCCUCCUCUGGCUUUGAGACCAGAGUGAAGGGAGACUGACUUCGGCUCAGGAAAUCAAAGAGCAGAAGACGUGUUGAAGAGCUGGUUUGACAGCUCUGAGGUUAUCUCUCAAGAUCUCUCAAGGCCAUUUCUGCACUUACAUCUUUCCCACGGGCCCAUCAGACUUAGAGUUGGCUUGGAAAUGGGGAUUACGACUACCUUGGUGGAAGUCAGAAGAAAAUGAAAAUGUUGCUGCGGUUGAGGUCGAAGAGGUUAUGGCUAAAAUCAACAAGUCAG